GACGAACGCUGGCGGCGUGCUUAACACAUGCAAGUCGAGCGGUAAGGCCCCUUCGGGGGUACACGAGCGGCGAACGGGUGAGUAACACGUGAGCAAUCUGCCCAUCACAUCGGGAUAACUCCGGGAAACCGAAGCUAAUACCGAAUACGACCACCUCCGGCAUCGGAUGGUGGUGGAAAGUUCCGGCGGUGAUGGAUGAGCUCGCGGCCUAUCAGCUUGUUGGUGGGGUAACGGCCCACCAAGGCUUCGACGGGUAGCCGGCCUGAGAGGGUGACCGGCCACACUGGGACUGAGACACGGCCCAGACUCCUACGGGAGGCAGCAGUGGGGAAUUUUGGACAAUGGGCGAAAGCCUGAUCCAGCAACGCCGCGUGAGGGAUGACGGCCUUCGGGUUGUAAACCUCUUUCAGCAGGGACGAAGCGCAAGUGACGGUACCUGCAGAAGAAGCACCGGCCAACUACGUG
rnacentral:rRNA from 1 species